GACAGAGGGUGCAAACGUUGCUCGGAAUUACUGGGCGUAAAGCGCGUGUAGGCGGACCACCAAGUCGGACGUGAAAGCCCUGGGCUCAACCCGGGAACUGCAUCCGAAACUGGCGGUCUGGAGUAGUGGAGAGGAAAGCAGAAUUCCUGGUGUAGAGGUGAAAUUCGUAGAUAUCAGGAGGAACACCGGUGGCGAAGGCGGCUUUCUGGACACUUACUGACGCUGAGACGCGAAAGCGUGGGGAGCAAACAGG
rnacentral:rRNA from 1 species